ACUCCUACGGGAGGCAGCAGUAGGGAAUCUUCCACAAUGGGCGCAAGCCUGAUGGAGCAACACCGCGUGAGUGAAGAAGGGUUUCGGCUCGUAAAGCUCUGUUGUUAAAGAAGAACACGUAUGAGAGUAACUGUUCAUACGUUGACGGUAUUUAACCAGAAAGUCACGGCUAACUACGUGCCAGCAGCCGCGGUAAUACGGAGGGGUGCGAGCGUUAAUCGGAAUUACUGGGCGUAAAGCGCAUGCAGGUGGUUUUGUUAAGUCAGAUGUGAAAGCCCGGGGGCUCAACCUCGGAAUAGCAUUUGAAACUGGCAGACUAGAGUACUGUAGAGGGGGUAGAAUUUCAGGUGUAGCGGUGAAAUGCGUAGAGAUCUGAAGGAAUACCGGUGGCGAAGGCGGCCCCCUGGACAGAUACUGACACUCAGAUGCGAAAGCGUGGGGAGCAAACAGGAUUAGAUACCCUGGUAGGAUAGCG
rnacentral:rRNA from 1 species